UACGGAGGGGGCGCGCGUUAUUCGGAAUUAUUGGGCGUAAAGGGCGCGUAGGCGGCCCGGUAAGUCAAAGGUGAAAUCCCUCGGCUCAACUGAGGAACUGCCUUUGAAACUGUCGGGCUUGAGGCCGGGAGAGGGUAGUGGAAUUCCCAGUGUAGCGGUGAAAUGCGUAGAUAUGGGGAGGAACACCGGUGGCGAAGGCGGCCCCCUGGACCGGUACUGACGCUGAGGCGCGAAAGCGUGGGUAGCAAACGGG
rnacentral:rRNA from 1 species